CGCAACUUAGUUUUGCAAUGCCUAGAGCUAUGCUUGGGAUCAUUGUUCUGCUGAAACAUCCAUUUUAGUGGCAUUUCCUCUUCAGCAUACGGAUCAAUCCCGUGCACAUGGAAACAGACCAUAACAUUACCAUAUUGAGCCAUCCGAAUCUUUAAUAUUAUAUUUUGAAUCAUUUGAUAAUAAAAUUGUAUUCUAUUUCUGAAUACUCCAAUCGAGAUGAGCUGUGACAAAUUCAAGUCUGGCCUUUCCAUUUUUGCUGAAAUAAAGGUUUUCUAGCUGGACGCCGACAGAUCAACCCGGCCUCAACAGCUCAUCUUCUAAUUGUUCGUGCAUUAACUGGUAAACAAAACUGUUUCUGUAUUUGAUUGAAAGAGACUGUCACAUCAAUUUGAAUGACCUUUUCGACCAAUGGAUCUUCUAAUUGUUCGUGCAUUAACUGGUAAACAAAACUGUUUCUGUAUUUGAUUGAAAGAGACUGUCACAUCAAUUUGAAUGACCUUUUCGACCAAUGGAUCGUCUCUUCGAGUAGUUUUUUGAUGUCUUUCUACGCUGCGCCGAGUAAGUAGACUAUCAGUUUGUUGAAAUUUCUUUAUUAAUCGCGAUACCACUGAUCUAUUCACCUCAUAUUUUUCACUAAUUUUAUGUCGAUAUAAACCGUUUUGCCAAUCACUUAUUUUAUUUUUAAAGUCGGAUGAAUAAGUAUUUCUCGCCAUUUUUGAUUUAUAAACUCUAAAUCGUAGCUGAACAGUGACGCCGUCAUCAACCUCUUAAAAAUUGAAUACAGUACUUUUACAGUAGCGCAGUGAUUUGCUAACAGAGUUUGAGUGGUGCUUCAGUUUUGUGCACUCAAAUUUAUACUUAGGACUCCGUCCACCCGCCGCUCUGGCUAGGGUAACUAUUAAAUACAGUGAAAUUGUAGUUAUGAAGAAAAUCGAAAAUGUUAUUUCUGGUGUAAUAAUCCAAGGGAUUCAAUUUUGAAAA